GGGUAGUAAUGGAUGGUGGCCCCUUCUAUGUGUGUCUUUCAUAGUGUACCCAUGCUAGUGCAAACUGGCCUUGAACCAUUGCCCUGCUUCACUAUAUGUGCUGUGAACACUGAAGAGGAUUGCAGAGUU
rnacentral:snoRNA from 1 species